UACGGAGGGGGCUAGCGUUGUUCGGAAUUACUGGGCGUAAAGCGCGCGUAGGCGGAUCUGCAAGUCGGGGGUGAAAUCCCGAGGCUCAACCUCGGAACUGCCUUCGAUACUGCGGGUCUCGAGUCCGGGAGAGGUGAGUGGAAUUCCUAGUGUAGAGGUGAAAUUCGUAGAUAUUAGGAAGAACACCAGUGGCGAAGGCGGCUCACUGGCCCGGUACUGACGCUGAUGCGCGAAAGCGUGGGGAGCAAACGGG
rnacentral:rRNA from 1 species